rnacentral:lncRNA from 1 species
AUAAUGCAGUUCAUUUCAGAGCCAUUUUCAUUUUUGAAGUGCCCUUUCAUCAUUAGCUAAUAAAUACUCAUCAAUGAAUUUCCCUCCCUGUCUUGGAAGUUGGAGGAAAAAGAAAGUGAAGAUCCUGGUGUUACACAUCCAAUUGUUCACCUCCUUCCAAGACUAUGACAUUCCAGGAAACCUUCAGUGCUAAGAGGAACUGAUAUCUAGAGUAUCUCCUCGAGGAAGUACAACCGCAUUAUAAAUUAAGGAGGAAAAGUAACAAAGAGCUUGAAGACAUGCACAGCUCACAGGCCCCGGGUGGAGGCUGGCGGCAUCAGACAGACAGAACCAAGACAUCUGAGGGGCAACCAGGAGGUGCGUGUGGCUGCAGAGCACACAGCCACCAUCAAAUGUUCUUUUCCCCGACCUCGGCUACAGUUUUAUAUUUCUCAAACAUGCAGAUAAUGAUUGAUGGUGUCUGCCUGGCUACCUAGAUGAGUGAUUUUUCUGUGUCCUGGAUGCUGCUGCCGGAGCAAAUGUCAAAUGUCACACCGUGUCUCAGGCACAUGAUCAGACUAAAUAUGCUGGGAAGAAGCAAAUAAGAGGCUCUGUUAAUCAGUUAAUCAUCCCAUCACUAUAUUCCUUGCCUGAAAUGUGUGUGUGUGUGUUUUUUUUUUUUUUUUUUUUUUUUGGUCUGGGUCAUUUGUUUCUUAGUUCAUUGAAAUGUCUUGAAUGGAAAAUUGGGUUCUGCACACUGGGUCUGGCUGGUUGAGUCUGGCUGUGAAGACU